rnacentral:rRNA from 1 species
ACAUACGACCAUAGAUUCAAGAACAUAGCGCUUCCCGUUCGCUCAGCGGUACUCAAGCUUGUAAUCGGCGGAUUAGUAGUCAGGUGGGUGACCACUGGCGAAUCCCCGCUGUUGUAUGUU